rnacentral:rRNA from 1 species
AUUGAACGCUGGCGGCAUGCUUUACACAUGCAAGUCGAACGGUAACAGGCCUUCGGGUGCUGACGAGUGGCGAACGGGUGAGUAAUGCAUCGGAACGUACCCAGAGGUGGGGGAUAACGCAGCGAAAGCUGUGCUAAUACCGCAUGUGAUCUGAGGAUGAAAGCGGGGGACCGAGCAGCAAUGUUUGGCCUCGCGCCUUUGGAGCGGCCGAUGUCGGAUUAGCUAGUUGGUGGGGUAAAGGCCUACCAAGGCGACGAUCCGUAGCUGGUCUGAGAGGACGACCAGCCACACUGGGACUGAGACACGGCCCAGACUCCUACGGGAGGCAGCAGGGGGGAAUUUUGGACAAUGGGCGCAAGCCUGAUCCAGCAAUGCCGCGUGCGGGAGGAAGGCCUUCGGGUUGUAAACCGCUUUUGGCAGGAACGAAACGGUGUCCGCUAAUACCGGGCGCUAAUGACGGUACCUGCAGAAUAAGCACCAGCUAACUAC